GUGGGGAAUAUUGGACAAUGGGCGAAAGCCUGAUCCAGCCAUGCCGCGUGUGUGAAGAAGGUCUUCGGAUUGUAAAGCACUUUAAGUUGGGAGGAAGGGCAGUAAGUUAAUACCUUGCUGUUUUGACGUUACCGACAGAAUAAGCACCGGCUAACUUCGUGCCAGCAGCCGCGGUAAUACGAAGGGUGCAAGCGUUAAUCGGAAUUACUGGGCGUAAAGCGCGCGUAGGUGGUUCAGUAAGUUGGAAGUGAAAUCCCCGGGCUCAACCUGGGAACUGCUUUCAAGACUGCUGAGCUAGAGUACGGUAGAGGGUGGUGGAAUUUCCUGUGUAGCGGUGAAAUGCGUAGAUAUAGGAAGGAACACCAGUGGCGAAGGCGACCACCUGGACUGAUACUGACACUGAGGUGCGAAAGCGUGGGGAGCAAACAGGAUUAGAAACCCCGGUAGUCC
rnacentral:rRNA from 1 species